rnacentral:lncRNA from 1 species
AUGUGCUGGUACGGCUUCAGACCCCUAGAUGGCUUCACGUGUGAGGUCACUUCCUGCGAGGUCCUCUCGGUGCUACAGGACUUGUAUGAUACUAAACCUGAGAGUUUGGCUCAGGAGUCACGACUGGUGACCAGGAGGCCUGAAAAUACAAUCGUACUAAGUCCAGAGGACAGAGGUCAGAGUGGGAUAAUAUGUGAAGUUCCUCAUGAAACCAGAGACCAUAGGAAUUCAUUAUUGCUGGAGUUGAUGGUGUUUCUGUUUUAUAACCAUCUAAUAAAUUAGCAUUUAAUACUGAGAGAUUUCAUUUUAAGCUCCUAGAAUUGCUUUGUUUUAAGGAAAAUAUUUGCAGGCAGAGACAAGGGAAACCUUUCAGAAAAUGCGGGAGAUAAAAAUUUUAUCCAAGCAAAUGGAUCUUGGAUUUUGAUAUCAUUUUAUCUGUCAGAAUACUAAUCUGUGGUUAAAGAAAGUUUAAAUGUCAAAAAUGACUGAUCUAAAAUUCUCUUGAGUUCACCUAUUUUGUAUCUAUCUGUUUCUUCAUCCACCCUGGGUAUCCUUGUUUUUAAAUUCAUUUCAUAUGCUGAACAGAGUAUUAUAUUCAAAGUUUAAUAUUGAGCAAGACUUUCAUCAGAUGGACAGAUUUGCUUGACUGUCAAAGAAAAGAUAUAUUUAUCAUAUUUUGUCCAUUUGGUUUAGGUUGAGACCUUCAAAUAGCUGGCUUGGUAUUCUGCUUUUAUUUUCAAAUAUUCCAAUACAGUUAACAUAUUGGACAUUGUGGGAAUUCCAUAUUUUUGUUCUUUUAUCGACCUGAGUAUAUUUCUUUUUUUUUUCUAAAGAUUUGUUUUAUUUAUUUGAAAGACAGUCAUAGAGAGAGGUAGAGCCAGAGAGAGAGAGAGAGAGAGAGAGAGAGAGAGAGAAAGAGGUCUUCUAUCCACUGGCUCACUUCCCAAAUGACCACAAUGGCCAGAGCUGAGCCUAUCUGAAGCCAGGAGCUUCUUCUGGGUUUCCCAUGCAGGUGCAGGGACCAAGCACUUGGGCCAUCUUCUACUGCCUUCCCAGGCCACAGCAGAGAGCUGGAUCGGAAAUGGAGCAGCCAGGACUCAAACUGGUGCACAUAUGGGAUGCUGGCACUGCAGGUAGUGGCUUUACCCUCUAGGCCACAGCACUGGCCCCUGAGUAUAUUUCUUUUGGGGUGGGAUAUCAUUUAUUUAAAAUGAGAACCUGUGAAUCAGGUUCAAAUGGCAAGGGUGUGUGCGUAUGUGUGUGUGUAUGUAUGUAUGUGUGU